rnacentral:lncRNA from 1 species
CCCCUAAGGCUAGGAAGCUUACAUUCUCUUAAGGUGACUCACUUCCUGUUUGGGCUGAGGAAUGUGGCGCCUGGGUACUCCGAGCCGGCUCCUUGGAAACGGCUGGACCCGCCCACCAGAGCCUUAAAGCAACAGUGCUCCCACGACGGGCUUGUCCUAGUGGUCCUGAGGAACGGUCCCAGAAUUCCUGAAGGCAGAGGUCGGCUGCCAAGUCCCACAGUCCACAUGCUCCCUCUUCCUCACUCGACUUUAAGUUCCCUGGAGGAACGACAACUCCACUGCUUUUAGCCAGCGUGCAAGUGGUUCCCAGGACCAUUUCAGAGAAAGGGAUUGUGUGGUGAGACCUUACUAACCUGGCCUAAUCCUCCCUGGGCCUGUCAUGUUUUUGUCGAAAACUGGGAACAGUACUCUGGGCUUCUAAAGAAUCCAUGAGACCAUCUAUCAGUGUCCGAGGCAGGGCCCGGACUCUCUGCAAGGGAACAGCGGGCCGAACCUGCAGAUCCACAAUGACUGCUGAUGACCCUAGAGGCCUCCACAGAAAAACCCACCAGUGGAACAGAGCAGCGGACACAGGACUGCAGCAGCUGUGUCAUUCCUUGUGCCUCCUUUUCUUCAUGGCAAAGCGAUCCUCUCAGAAGAGAAACCAGACCUCCAAGGACACGUUGAAGGGAUUGAACUCGGGACCUUGUGCUUGUGAGGCAGGCGGCAGAACCACUGAGCUAAAUCUCUGGCCCGAAAGCUACUACUUAGACAUCACUGGAGCAGUUUUUCAAGAGGGAUGGACAGAGGCAUCAAAAAUCAGGAAUCCCACGACAUGGGUGACAGAGCCGUCUUCCCUCCCUGGUGACUCAUUCCAGCCUGGCCAGCAAAGUCAUUGCAGACUGCAUUCAAGGAGUCCUUCCAGCUUUGUUCAGAAUGAGGGUCACCUGCCUGGAAAAAUAUCAACAUCACCCUGACAUUUCUGAAUGCCACAAAAGUUUUGAAUGGCAAGAGCUGGGGGUGGAACUGUUUCCAUGGUGAUGGAGAAGCCAGUGCCAGCACUGAAGGCAUGAGGAGUGGGCAGCGUGCACAUUUAGUGUUUGAACUUGAUGCUCCCAUCUGCAAUGAGAAUGGAUCUGAGAGAGAGAGAGAGAGGGGGAUUGAUUUCUCCUUCCAGGGGUGCAAAUUGGGGGAUCUUUUGUCCUCAGGACCUCAUGUGAUAAACACUAGUGUCUCUGUACAUGCAUGUGUGUUUGUGUGUGUAUGUGUCCUUCAGUGUCUGUGUGUCUCUGG